rnacentral:snRNA from 7 species
CUGCUUCUACAGCACAUAUACCCAAAGUGGAACAAUACAGAAGUUAGCACUGCCCCUAAGUGAGGAUAGCAAGCAAAUUCUUGCAGUGUUCCAUGUUUCU